CCCGCUUCUCUUUGCAGAUGACCCUGACGAUCUCCAGUGUAAGCGGGGAGACCAGGUGACCCUGGCGAACUGGCAGAACAACUCAUCACUCCGGUUGUUGAAUCUGGUCUAUGACGUGACUCCCCCCGAGCUUGUGGAUCUGGUGAUCACAGAGUUGGGCAUGAUCCCUUGCAGUUCUGUGCCUGUUGUCCUCCGAGUCAAGAGUAGUGACCAAUGAAAGGCAUCAAGGGUCAAUAAAAAACUUAUUCCUUACUGCCAUAA
rnacentral:lncRNA from 1 species